GAUGAACGCUGGCGGCGUGCCUAAUACAUGCAAGUCGAGCGAACAGAUGAGGAGCUUGCUCCUCUGACGUUAGCGGCGGACGGGUGAGUAACACGUGGAUAACCGACCUAUAAGACUGGGAUAACUUCGGGAAACCGGAGCUAAUACCGGAUAAUAUAUUGAACCGCAUGGUUCAAUAGUGAAAGACGGUUUUGCUGUCACUUAUAGAUGGAUCCGCGCCGGAUUAGCUAGUUGGUAAGGUAACGGCUUACCAAGGCAACGAUGCGUAGCCGACCUGAGAGGGUGAUCGGCCACACUGGAACUGAGACACGGUCCAGACUCCUACGGGAGGCAGCAGUAGGGAAUCUUCCGCAAUGGGCGAAAGCCUGACGGAGCAACGCCGCGUGAGUGAUGAAGGUCUUCGGAUCGUAAAACUCUGUUAUUAGGGAAGAACAAAUGUGUAAGUAACUAUGCACGUCUUGACGGUACCUAAUCAGAAAGCCACGGCUAACUACGUG
rnacentral:rRNA from 1 species